rnacentral:rRNA from 1 species
UCCUCCCUCUUUCUUCGUGCUUAACACAUGCAAGUCGAACGGAAAGGCCCUGCUUUUGUGGGGUGCUCGAGUGGCGAACGGGUGAGUAACACGUGAGUAACCUGCCCUUGACUUUGGGAUAACUUCAGGAAACUGGGGCUAAUACCGGAUAGGAGCUCCUGCUGCAUGGUGGGGGUUGGAAAGUUUCGGCGGUUGGGGAUGGACUCGCGGCUUAUCAGCUUGUUGGUGGGGUAGUGGCUUACCAAGGCUUUGACGGGUAGCCGGCCUGAGAGGGUGACCGGCCACAUUGGGACGGAGAUACGGCCCAGACGCCUACGGGAGGCAGCAGGGGGGAAUAUUGCACAAUGGGCGGAAGCCUGAUGCAGCAACGCCGCGUGCGGGAGGACGGCCUUCGGGUUGUAAACCGCUUUCGCAUGUGACGAAGCGUGAGGGACGGGAAUGGGUAAAGAAGCACCGGCGAACUACGU